rfam:Ornithorhynchus anatinus chromosome 2, whole genome shotgun sequence.
CCCUUCUCAGGGUCGCACCUGGAGAGUUUCCAGUAGUCUACCAGUCUUGGCUACAGAAGGGACGGUCAAGCAGAGGCCUGUCCAUUCCAUUCCUAGCUUGGGCAGUGGCUAGCAAGUGGAAGGUGAUCUGCUACAAGU